UACGGGGGGGGGCAAGCGUUGUUCGGAAUUACUGGGCGUAAAGGGCUCGUAGGCGGCCAACUAAGUCAGACGUGAAAUCCCCAGGCUCAACCUGGGAACUGCGUCUGAUACUGAUUGGCUUGAAUCCGGGAGAGGGAUGCAGAAUUCCAGGUGUAGCGGUGAAAUGCGUAGAUAUCUGGAGGAAUACCGGUGGCGAAGGCGGCAUCCUGGACCGGCAUUGACGCUGAGGAGCGAAAGCCAGGGGAGCAAACGGGA
rnacentral:rRNA from 1 species